AAGACAAUACAUUUUAGACUCAUUUCUAUGGGUGGUUAUUAGAGAAAUUUCUCAGGGCCUGUAGAGUUCUGGGAACCAGGCAGAGGAACAGCCUUCUCUCCUGGGAGAGAGAAGCUGGCUCUGUUGUUCCUUAGCCAUAACUGCCAUUGCUAUUAAUGACCACUGUCCUUUAGGAGAGAAGGGGAGGGGGAGAGAGGAGGAUGGC